UACGUAGGGACCGAGCGUUGUCCGGAAUCAUUGGGCGUAAAGAGCGUGUAGGCGGCCACUUAAGUCCUGCGUGAAAUCUUGCGGCUCAACCGCAAGCGGUCGUGGGAAACUGGGGGACUUGAGUGCAGAAGAGGAAAGCGGAAUUCCACGUGUGAGCGGUGAAAUGCGUAGAGAUGUGGAGGAACACCAGUGGCGAAGGCGGCUUACUGGUCCGGUUCUGACGCUGAGGCGCGAAAGCGUGGGGAGCAAACAGGG
rnacentral:rRNA from 1 species